CCGCUGGGAGCCCGUCUCUACCGCUUGGCCUGACUACCAUCGUUCCUCACACCCCCGCCCGCGCCUCCGCCCCCUCCCAGGGCUCGAUUCCAGAGGGCACUAGAAGCCCCCCGAGCGGGAUCUUCUACGUGAAAGAGAGCACCCGCCGUCCAGAGUUUUAGGAGAAAUCCACGCCAAAAUCAAGUGCCUACGGGCAGGAAGUUCCUCGGACGUUUCACCUAGCCGGCUCUCCGGCCGUUCUUCCAGGAAUUCACGGACAAUAGAUCUCGCCACAGGAUGUUGAGUCAUUUCUUUUUUUUUUUUUUAAAAACUCUGGGUUGGGGCAAGGAUCGUUCCGUUCCCUGCCGCCCCGGGACGGCCGACCCCCCCCGAGCCUCCACGGCCCGACCCCGCGCUCGCCACGGGGCCGGAGAGACGGAACCGGGACGAGCAGCGGGUCGCACCGCUCGCUCUCUCGACGGUAAGCUCGUCGGGGGCAGGGACGCUGUCGGUGACCUCCGUUGUAAUACUGUACUCUCCCGAGCGCUCGGCCCGGGGCUCCGUACCCAGGAGGCGCUCAAUACGUACCGCUGAUUGAGUUCUCUGCUUGGCCGCGAGUGGGAAUUUUAGGCCCGCGGUGCAGAGAGUUUGGAAAACCGAGCAGUAGGUUUGGAGGAGUUACAGCAGAUCCCAUCGGUUCCGGAGCUUUAGCGAUCAGUCGGCCGAUCGCAUUUAUCCAGUGCUUACCGCGUACGGGGCACCGGACCCGAGUGCACGGGGAGCACAACACGCCGAUAUGACAGACACGUCCCCCGCCCGCGACGACCUUACGGUCCAGAGGACGAGCUGCCGGUCUAGAGGGAGACCGUCACUGAAAUAACCCGUUGGCACGCAACGUUCCCGUACUAGGCCCACAACCAACUUCCACAAUCAGCGGCAUUCCGGGACACUUCAAGAACGAAGAUCCCGUGACCUUCAGAACCAACCCGUCCUCCAGAAAAUAAAUCUUCUCCCGGUCACUUGAAUCAAAUGCCGGGAAAAUGCCCCCGCGAGAUCUCCCGGCAACCCCGAUUCCGGUCCGGGGGCGGCCCCGCCGGGUCUCCCGGUAACGCCUCCGCGGAGCCCGGCGGGCAGACGGGCACCGGUCCCCGUGGGCACCGAAGCCUCCGGGAGGAGAGUCGGGAAACCGGCCCGGGGAGGUUGAGGCGGUGGUGGGGGAGAGAGAGCCGGGCGGAGCGAGGCCUCGGGCCUCCCUGCUGCCGGGCGGUUCCCUCGGAAAGGCAGGUCCUCGGAGACCUGCCCUCGGUGACCUCCGACGGACCAGUGCGGGGCGACCGGCCCCGGAGCCCACAGAACCUUCCCCAGAAACGGCCCCGAGGGGCCCGCUGGCCCUCGGGGACUUUUUCCAAGACGACGGCGAGACACCAGGCUCUUCCCGGCGGGAAGGGAGAAGGAAAGAGGAGAAACGUGAGUACCCCCUGGCUGAAAGACCGUGACAGAUCUCUUGGAGCCACCGGACUCACAAAGGUGAAUGCAAAAAGGGGAAGGCACAUUUAUACGUUUUUAAGACUUUCGUAAUCGGCGCCUUUAUCGGAGGCGCAUAUUUCUACAUCUGCUUCGGACAGUCCGUGUUUCCGCUCGGCGGCCAUCUCCCAACGAGGUCGGUGACGACGCUUAGCGGGAAUCAAUCCCCCCGAAGGCACCCGGGGCCUCGAGGAGCUUUUUGGGCACCCUCAAAAAGAGGAGAGCGGGUCUCGGCCGAAACACCCGCGAGCCCUCGUGUCUUUCCGACGGCGCUCCGAGAGUUCAGACGUCCAUCGCCUCCGAAAAAACCUCCUCCGCCUAACGUCUCGUUUCCCCAGCCGAUUCGCCCGCCCUCCUGAGUCGCCGGGGCACGGGGGUGGGCACCCCUCGUGCGCCUGGCCUCUCAACCCACAGGACGCACGUCCACAUCCUUAGAUUCUGGUGCUUCUCCUCGCUGUGAUUUACUUCGAUGCCCGAUCUUCCCCCCUCCGAGACCCUAAGCUCCUCGAGGGCAGGGAUCGUGUCUGCCGAAGUGGGGAUUCGGCCUAUCCUCCCUCCGCUUUCGACCGUGAGCCCCACGGGGGACGGAGAUGCCGUCCGGCUUGAUCGACUUCUAGCUGCCCCGGCAUCUGGAACAGAGCUCGACACACAGUGAGAGCCUUAACGAACCCCGUGCCGAUUAAAAUAUGGGUGUGUACUCUCCUAAGCUCUCGGUCCAGUGCUCUACGCAGAGUGAACGCUCAAUAAAUACCACCGGUGGAUUGCUCUAAGCCCCAGAGCGGCCCUUUGCGACUGGUUCUGAACGGGAUCCCCUUCUGGUUGGGGCCACAGGCGGCUGCGCGCUGGCCACCCCGAGGAGGCCGAUCGAUCGGGGGGCCUAGCCCGGCCCCUGGCCGGGCCCGGGGGCUUCGGCCGGCCUGCAGACCCUCGGGUACUGCCCUGGGGCUGGUGCCGGGGAAACAGUGAAAGACAUUCUCCGCUGAGAUCAAACGAUCCCUCCAAGCUUCCCGCCUCCUCAGCCUGAGGGAUGGCUAGUUCCCACCUGGGAUUCUCUCCCGGAGCUCAGCAGGGCGGUCCGCUCAGAGUAAGCGCUUCACACCUCUUCCGCUACCACUGACAACUGCUCCUAUGAUACCUCCGAUCAGUCCCGGCAAGACCGGAAGCAGCGCGGCCUAGAAGAAAAGCUCGGACCCGGGAGUCAGAGGCCCCGGCUUCUGACGCCGGCUCCGCCGCUCGCCCGUCGGGUGAUCUUGGGCGAGUCGUGACAUCUCACGGCUGCGGUCUCCCCAUCCGUUUAACGGGGAUUCAAUACCGGUUCUCCCUCCCCCCGAGGACGUGAGCCCCACGUGGGACGGCGCCUGUUUCCAACCCUCGGAUCUUGUAUCUUAGUUCGGCGCUCGGCGUGCAGAAAGCAUUUCGCAAAUACCACGAUGAUUAUUAUUA